UGGGAAGUUGAAUACCGUCCCCGGUAAACUUAGAGCAAACUGUCAGAUAAACCCCCGCCCCGCAGCUCUGGGUUGAAUUCUGCAGAGCUUUCACUUGGUGCUUGCAUGCGUGAGCGCUAAAAUUCCUGGACAGAGAAAUAGAGUGAAAGUACAUGAGAAAGAGUGAAGAAAUGAGAAAACAUCUAAAGCAUUCAGAAAACAUCUUCCAAGAGGCAGGCUGAAUCAUCCUUCAGGGCCAGAAAUGUGGAAGGCAGUUUAAUGUUGGACCAGUUCAGAUCCUUAUGAGACAACUAUUGGACUGUGAAGGUUGUGAAACAUGCCUGGAAAUCUUUUCACACCCCUCUCAGAGCCGGAGGCUUAUAUUCCCUCCUCUUGAGUGUGGGCCCUUUUAGCGGCUCACUUGCAAACAGCAGCAGCAGCAGAAGUGCAGUGUCUAAUGCAACUUGCAUCUGGUUCUCUCCGGACACUUGUUUUGGAGCCAUGAGCUACUGUGUCCUACCACACUGAGGUCUCCAGGAUGGGGAGGAGCUCCGACCAUGUGGAGUGGCUGUGUGCAGCGCUCUGGGCAGUGGCCUAGCCAAGGUCCCAUCCAACAGCUUCAGCAGCCUAGUGUCCAUCACCAGACAUAUGCUCGAAGAUGCCACCAGGGGAUCCUCUGCCUCCAGUUACUCCCAGCUGUUGACUUGCCUGGCCAAGGCCCCGGAGAGGAUGGAGCACAGGCAAAACAUCCACACGGCGUCAUUUGUAAGCAUGAAAAAAAUCACUGUAUUCCACUGUGUUUCGAGUGAUUAGCUGUGCAGCAGCUCUGACCAGUGCUCGGAGUUGGAAGUCUGUGCACGGGAGCAGUAGUUGGCAUUGGCCGAACUGAGGCUGACGCAGCACAUCCUGACUGGAGUUUGGUUUCCUUUAUCCAGAAGAGUAGCCACAACCCGACUAACCGUGUGGUGGCCCAGUGGGCUAAGAGAAUGGGAAGCUGAGCAAUAUUGGGACAGCCCUGCACCCCCACUUUUGGAGCCGGGAGAAGGGACUUUGCUACCACGCUCCCGGUCCUCCUGCCCCCUCGGUCACUCCCUCCGAGGAGGAAGGGGCUGAUGUACUUGCUGGAAGUUUGAGAAAAAGAAAUGGGCUCUGUGGGCUCAGCCUAGGGCCUCCUCUUUCUUCUUUGGGAACCAGGUAAACCACAGGGAGCAUUCUCGGCUCCUCCGACCACGUCCUAAGCUGGGGGACCCAAGUCUUGCCAGGAAAGCACAUGGUGGUGUAGCUUACUCUGCAACUAAGACUAAGUCCACUGUGUACUACCACCUGCCACUCACUUUUAUAAAUAAUAAAGAUGAUGUUUUG